UACGGAGGGUGCGAGCGUUGUCCGGAAUCAUUGGGCGUAAAGGGCGCGUAGGUGGCCCGGUCAGUUCGUGGUGAAAGCGCGGGGCUCAACCCUGCGUCGGCCAUGAAUACUGCCGCGGCUGGAGCACUGUAGAGGCAGGCGGAAUUCCGGGUGUAGCAGUGGAAUGCGUAGAGAUCCGGAGGAAGACCGGUGGCGAAGGCGGUCUGCUGGGCAGUUUCUGACACUGAUGCGCGACAGCGUGGGGAGCAAACAGG
rnacentral:rRNA from 1 species